rnacentral:lncRNA from 1 species
UAUAAGUUUUUGUUAUUAGAAUUAAGACAUAUUUUUGCCAUGAAGGUCAAAGCCGUAAUAUUUAUCUUUAAUGGAAAAUGAUGUUGAGAAACAAGACUUAAAUUAGAAGGGAGGAAGCCAAUUUUCUACGGCUGGGCACAGGUUAGCUAAUUGUGAAUGUGAUAUUUGUAAAGGCACGGAAGCUGUCAGCACUUUUUAGCAUUGUCAGUAGGAUGUCUGGAAUGUAAUUUUGAGAAGGUGCCAAUUGCUAUGGAUAGUGAAGAAGGAUACUUCUUGAAAACAAAUAAACCUGUAUUGUGAGCUGAACGACGAAAAGGAAUAAUGGACAUCUUCAACAGAGUUUUCAUCAAUCCUCAAGAAAUUAGGAAGAGAAAUAAGGGCACCAAUAGUUUCCAAUGCUUUAUCAAGACAAGUUAUCAAGACUGCUUCAAGGUAGGCUUGAGGAUGUGUCAAGAAUAUAGUCGAGACAGGCAACAAGGACAGCAUCAAGACCAAGUUUAAAGUAGGGGAUUCAAGUAUGAGUGUUAGGAAUCUUACGUAAUUUUGAAGAUUCUUCAGUAUCAAGACUGAGGAGAGUUGUAACACAAGUUUGGAGACCUACCCAAGUGAGCUGGUCUUGUGUGAAGCCAGCAUGGACAAGGUUGUAUCCCAAGUUUAGUAAUGAUUAAUAUUUAUGGUGAUAUAAAGAACAUUGGGUACACAGAUAUGAUUAAAGUAAAUCAGUAGUAUUUUGUGAUAUGUGCUGACAUAGUAGGAACAAUUUAUUUUACAUUCCUUUGAUGGUGAUAUUUAUGUAUUAUGUCUGACUUUGUGAGAGAAUCUCUUGACGACAAGAGAUCCAUUGAAAGAGAUGGCAGCCAUAGAUAUGGAAAGUUGUGCCUCAAAUUUGAAUGAUAUUAUAAAUAUUAGGUCUGAAGAUAGUUUAUCAAGGGUAUCUUAUAGCUCAUAGCUUUCCUAUCAGCCGAAGGUCUCUGGUAGGAAUUCUAUGAGUAAAUAAUGAAUGGAAAUGUAAAUCAUGCUAGCUUGAUAUCUUAUAACCUUGGAAGUUUAAUGCCCAAAGCAGAAGUACAAAAAUUUAGUGGGUAUGUAACUCAGUACAAAUUCUUUAUCAAAUCUUUUGAUAGUAUUAUUAGUAAUAGACUUAUACAUGAAGAAGAAAGAUGGUUUUCUCUGAAACAAUAUACAUCUGGUAAACCAAGGGACAUGUAGCUUGUUCUCUAAUGGGACCAAGAGAUGGCUACAAGGAAGCUAGAUAUCUAUUACAUAGAAAAUAUGGUGAUCAAGAGGUUAUAGGAACUGCUUAUGUUGAUAAAAUCUUGGAAUGGCCAUGGUUAAAGGAUGAUGAUGUUGAAGGGUUUAAUCAGUUUUACAUCACACUUGUGGGCUGUUGUCAUGCGCUCUCUGCAGUAGCUUAAAGAAAUUGAGCACCUCAGGACUAUGAGAAAAAUUGUUAAAAAAGUACCUUUUGCUUUGCAGGAGAAAUGGCACCAAGUAUUAGAAUAUGGAGUAUUAGAAUAUGGAGGUAGAACUUCUACAGUUUAUGAUUUAGUAGACUUCAUUAAUAAAGACAUACAGUCAAUGAUUUAUAAUCUAACAGAAAAUAAAAAAAAUAAUAAUAAUUCAAUGGAUACCAGCACACAAAAACAUAAAGGGAAAUGAAAUAGCAGACCUUGCAGCAAAAACAGCUCAUAAAAUAAACAAAACGUUUAAUAUCACCAAAGACAUUUCAAAUAUAAAAAAAGAGAUUAAGAACAGAAUGCAAAAGCAUUGGGAAGAAUACCUGAACAAUGCCCUAAAUAUAAAGAACUAUCAUUUAAAACACACCAGUCCACAACCAUGGACGAGAUAAAAAAAUAGAAAACUAGACACAAGCAUUACAAGGUUAAAAACAGAUGGUGCAAAAAUCAAGAGGAAACAGACGAUCACAUAUUCCACCUUUGCCCAAGAUUUAACUCAAACAGAGUGAUAUUACUGGAAGCAUUAAAGAAAAUAAAAAUCACUAAUCCAAAUGUUAAACUACUAAUUACAGGAGAAGUUCUACCAGAAGAACAGAAAUUCUAUAUACUAAGACAUAUUAAAAUAUUUCUACAAAAAACAAAAAUUAUAGAUAUGAUAUAAGAAGAAUGAAGCAUCAAGAAAAGGAUCCAGGGGAUAUAGACAAAAUAAAAGUCUGAAACUAUAAAAGAAGAAAGAAGAAAAAGAGGUUGAUAUAAUUUCUCGUUCUUUAUACAGAAGGCAUCUAUUUGGUACUAAUGAAGAUAAAUUUAAGAUUCAUGUUAGGAACCAAGAGAAAGCACAAAUUUGUAAUACUGUUACAAAUAAUAUAAAGCAAGGACCAAAAUGUUAAUAACUUAUCAGAGAGAGGAAUUAUCAGAGAGAGGAUAGCAAGGAUGAUAUUGCUCAUAUAAUAUCAGGUAAUGGUGAAAAUGAUUUACAUAACUUAAAAGUUAAUGUCAAAAAAGUAAAUAAUAAAUCUAAACCCUCUGGUAUAAAUUGUCCGUCAUUCCUGUAAAAAUAUGUGACAGUAGGGACCAAUUGAUUCCCACUUAUACCUUCCUAGAUAAUGGCAGUACAGCAACAUUCUGCACAAAGAACCCCUUGCCUAAGCUUAUGAUUACAAAGACUGUUUCAACUCAAUUGUCACUUUCUGCAAUACAUUUAGAUGUUAAAAUUAAUAGUAGAAUAGUAGCAGGAAUGGAAAUUUUUGAUCCAAAUGAAAAUGAUUUUAUUUCUCUGCCACCAGUUUAUACAAUAGAGAAUAUACCAGUAUCAGAUGAUAUAAUAAGGAAAGUUCUUAAAAGUUGGCCGUAUUUAAAUUGUAAUUGACUGCCAGGCUAUGAUGUGGAUAUAGGAUUAAUGUUAGGAAAUAAUGUUCCAAAAGCAAUGGAACCAAGGGAAAUAAUACAUAGUCCAAAGGAAGCUGGACCAUUUGCUGUGAAGAAAAGACUGGCAUGGAUAGUUAAUGGAUCUUUGAGAGAGAGUCUUUAAAUAUCCAGGGUAAUCAAGUUAAGUUAGAUGAGGUGAAUGUAGAUCAGGUAAUGGUUAUAAUGUAUAAUCAAGAAUUUGAAGUUGUAAAUUCAUCUAUUCACCUUUUUUUUGAGGAAGAUAGAAAAUGGAAGAAGAAAGUUGAGAACUUUGUAAAAUAAUUAAGGGACAUUAUGAGAUAGGAAUACUAUUUAGAAAUGAAGUUCCUGUCCGAGGAUCUAUGCAGAAAAAAAAUUAGGUCUAAAAAGGAAACUCUUCGGAGAUAAAGUAUUUCAUAGGGAUUAUUGUGCUUUCAUGACCAAUGUUAUAGAAAGAGGUUAUGCAGAGGAAGUGCCACAGACAAGGGACAAUGAAGAUAAAGUUGUAUGGUAUAUCGCUCAUCAUAGUGUGUUUUAUCAAGCUGGUUUUCCAGAGAAAUUGGGAUUAUUUGAGGUUUUUGUGGUGACUAGAUGGAAAUCUUAGCAAGUAAGUGAAUAUCAUACGACUGUUCACCCAUUUGGAGCAAAGUCUUCUCCUAGUUGUUCGAAUUUCACUCUACACAGAACUGCAAGUGAUUAAGGUAGUAAAUAUUUACUAGAAGUUCUAAAGACAAUAUUUAGAAUUUUUUAUGUUGACUGUUUGAGGUCAAUGGCUAUGGAAGAGGAUUUAGUUAAAACAGCACAUGGUGUUAAGUCACUGUGUUCAAGGGGUGGUUUUGAUUUACAAAAUUUAUCAGCAACAGUAGGAAGCUUUUGGAAUCUUUACCCAUAAAUCAUAGGAGAAAGAAUGUAAAAGAGCUUAAUUUAUGCCAUAAUUCUUUACCAGUGGAAAAGGCUCUUGGAAUAUGCUGGAACAUUAAGGCAGAUAUCCUAAUCGUUUAGCAAUUUUCCAUGAUGGUUCUGAAUGUGAUCAGUGGAAAUAUGUUCAUUCCGAACUUAAUCUUACAGAUGAUGCUUUUAGAGGUAAUCAAAGUGAAUGUUGGCUUAAAGGUCUAGAGUUUCUGUUCCAUGAAGAUAACAGGCCUAGGGAGCCAUCAAUAAUAUAUAUGAAUGAAGGUGAUUUAGAAAUUAAGAACUACAUUGGACUGUAGCAGUAAGAAAGAUACCAUCCAAAGCUUGCUGCAACAUUAUUCAUGCUGGCACAAGAUUAAGAAAUCUGUUGCGUGGUUCUUAUGCAACAGAUUGAAUGAUACUAAGAAGUAUAGGAGUUUUCUUACUGUAAAUGUAUUAGAAGAGGCAGAAAAGGCAAUUAUUAGGUUGGUUCAACAAGAAUUAUUUCAUGAAGAGAUAAAGAACAUUAAAUCGAGUAUACGAGUAUACAUGUAUGUAUGUAUAUAUAUAUAUAUAUAUAUAUAUAUAUAUAUAUAUAUAUAUAUAUAUAUAUAUAUAUAUAUAUAUACAUACAUACAUACAUAUAUUGGGAGUGAAAAGAAAUAGUACUGUAAUUAAACAGAAUCCUUUAUUACCUAAAGACCUGUGUUAUGUAGGUGACAGGCUUACAAGGGCUAAGAUGUGACAGCAAGAAUCCAUUUAUUUUACUAAGUAAGCACCAUAUAACAGAUAAGAUCAUCAGAAAUUGUCAUGAGAGACUUGGACACCAAGGGCAUGAGCACAUCUUGAGUUCAUUUAGAGAACGCUUUUGGAAGUACCAGGUUACUGAAGUACAACAGAUGGCAAACCUUCCUGAUAGGAUCUCUGCCAACCAACCAUCUUUCACUAUGAAUCUUGUAGAUUGUUUUGGUCUAUUCUAUACUAGGAAGGCAAGAUCUCCGAUGAAGCACUAUGGCAUAUUAUUUACAUUAUUAACUAUAAAAGCAGUUCACAUAGAAAUUGCGGAAUCAUUGUCUACUGACUUAUUUAUCAAUAAUUUAUGAAGAUUCAUAGCUAGAUGAGGACAAGUGAAAUCUAUAUAUUGUGAUAGGGGCCUUAACUUUGUUGGGGCAGAAAGAGAGUUAAAACAAGCUAUGAAGGAAUGGAAUCAGUCUCGUUUUAGUGAGACACUUUUGAUAAAUAAUAUAGAAUGGAAUUUUAAUCUGCCUCAUGCAUCUUAUUUUGGUGGUGUUUGGGAAAUACAAAUAAGGACAGUUAGGAAAGUGUUGAAUGGAGUUAUGAAAGAGCAAAUGUUGAAUAAUAGUUUAAAUACCCUGAUGUGUCAAGCAGAAGCAGUUGUUAACAGUAGACCUCUAAUUACUGUUUCAAGUGAUUGCCAUGAUUUAAGCCCAUAACUCCUAAUCCUCUCCUUACAUUAAGGGAAGGUUCAUUAUUUGCUAGUGAAUGUGACUCAAAUGAGGUAUGUAGUAAGCAAAGAUGGCAUCAUGUUCAGUAUUUGGCUGAGGUAUUUUGGAAGAUGUGGAAACAUGAUUAUUUAUUAACUUUGCAGGAAAGACAAAAGUGGUAUAUGAAAGGCAAAAAAUAACUGUAGGAGAUACUGCAGUGUUGGUUGAAGAAAAUUCCCCCCAGGUGUCAUUGGCCAUUAGGUCGUGUCACUGAUGUUAAGCAUAGUGGUGAUGGGUUAGUAAGAACUGUUAUUUUCAAGUGUUGAAAAUCUUUUAUGACUAGACCUGUGUCAAAGUUGAUUCUCUUAUGUGAAAAUGAUAGUAAUCAAUUAAAAAGAUUGAUCAUAGUGAAUAUCAGUAUGUGAAUGUGUUAGAGGAGGACUAUAUUAAGGUAAUAACUGUUGUCAUUAAGAUGAGUAAUUCACUCAGGAUUAUUUAGUGAAUUUUUUACAUUUAAUAUAAGAAUUUGAAAUGCAUCUGCUUUACUCAUAGAUUUGUUGAACCUCUAUGAGGAUUCAAGAGGGUGAGUGUAAACGCUGGAAGAUGCAUAAUGUUUAUGUGCUAUAAUAAUCAUGAUUUGUAAUUAGAAUAAUUUGUAGUAUAAAAUAUUUGGCAACACUGUUUGUUAACUGUGUGGUAUAUAUACAGUGGAAAAUAUCUAACAAUUUAAGUUUUUGGUGUUUAGUAUUGAAGCAGUGCUUUUAUGAGUUUUGGUUUAUAGAAUUAAGAUAUAUUUUUACUAUGAAAGUCAAUAUAUAUUGACUGUAAUAUUUUUCUUUAAUGGAAAUUAUGUUGAGAAAUAAGACUUAGUAGGGAGGAAGCCAUUCUUUUUAACUGGCUGAGCACAGGUCAGCUAAUUGUGAAUUUGAUAUUUGUAAAGGCACAAAAGCUGUCCAGUACUUUUUAACAUUAUCAGUAGGACAAAGGACAUCUGGAAUAUAAUUUUGAAGAGAUGCCAAUUGCUAUGGAUAUGUCUUGGUGAGUAAAUUUACAUGUGUUUUUGUGUCAUCAAGCAAAUGUUAAGUCAAUAUAUGCUUGAUAAUUCUAUGCUGUUUGUAUUUUGUAUGAUAUUGAUUAAAGAGACUAAUGUAAGAAUUUCCUUUGAAUUGUGUUAGUCAAUAUUAUGAUGGAAGAAUAUUUUAAAUAGUAAGUUGAUCUGUUUUUCAAAGUUUGUUAUAUUAUUAUAAAGUUAUUUCAAAGAGAUAUUGUCUGAUUGUUACAGAAAAGAAAAGAAAAAAAAAACUAUUGUAAGCUGAAUGAUGAAAAGGAAUAAAGGACAUCUUUAACAGG